UAGAUGCUCUUUGUGUACUAGUAUUUUGUUUGGAUAGUGGGCAUGCAUGCUGUUUCGCUUUGUUUUCUUGUUCUAUUUAAGUUGAUGCAUCACUAAAUCUGUUUUUAUUUUCCUUGUUAGACCUCUUACCAGAAGUUUUUUUUGGGUGUGUUCUUGGAUACUCUACAAAUCCCCCAAUUUCUAUGCUAGCUGAACAAAUUAGACGCUAGUUCUUUCUACAAAUGGUGAGCUUCCUCUGCCAGUUGAUCUAUUUCCGUUUCUUUCAGAUAAUAUUUAACUACUGACAUGCAUAUGGAUGACUAUCAAGGAUGGUUGAAAGGCUAGCUAAUGAAUACUAAUCUGAGGUAAACUUAUUUUUGCCUUCUCAGUCAGAGUGACCCCAUUUUAAUUUGUUGUUUUGGAGCAGCUUAUGCUGAUUAUCUGGCUGUUAGGCUAUUCUUGCAUAGUUAUAUGCAUUUGUAACAUAUCGAAACUGUUCCUGCUACUGUCAUCCCAUCUGUAACAUAUAUCUGGUUGUUAGGCUAUUAGGAUAUUCUUGCAUUAAACUUCUCUGAAUGAUGUCAUUGCAGGCACUGGGGGCUGUACU
rnacentral:lncRNA from 1 species